UUUCAAUAUCUUGAGUCGAUAACUUAGGAAAAUGGAGAGAUUGAAAUGACCGACCCCUCUUUUCUCUUUAAAACCCUAAUUAGGGUCGAUAACCUAAUUAGGGCGUACCCCUCUUUUCUCUUCAAAACCCUAAUUAGGGUUUUAUUUUUUUACUAUUUGAUCCAUAUCCAUUUCUAGUGUAAAGAGGAUUAAACCAUUUAAAAACCUUUUAGAACUUUCUAUUAUCUCUUUAAAAAUUUUUGGAAAUCAAAGAUAAUAUUAUGUUCGAACUAACUCCCCCCCAAAAAAAGGACAUCUUUUCUUGUAAAAGAUAAUUUAUUUAAUUUAACUUAAAGCAAACUUCUAAAAUGAGGAGUGGGGCAUGCGACCCCCAUGGGAGAUAAGUGGGCCCUAAGAGCUCCAGGCCCACCCAUGUGAGGAUGGCGCACAUGUGGGACAUGAUCCAAGGGCUUUUGCAUGUGGCCUUCCUUAUAAAUAUAUCAAAAAUUCCUUUUUUGAGGAAUUUUACAGCAGAAAAUGAUUUUAAAAUUUUUAAUUUUUUUGAAUUCAUAAAAAUAUUUAUGAUACCAUAAUUAAAAUAUUUAGAAAUGGAUUAGCACCAAUAGGUCAAAACAGGUAAUUAUAAGGGCACUCGCUAGACAUAGUGGCUAUGAUCCACAACUGUCUUCUCAAACCAACUCAACGAAAUGUAUGACCCACAAUCUCAUGCAGGAGUUCAUACCUGACUCAUCAAAGCCGACUAAUAAACAGUGGAAUUACAGUCCCAGAUUGUGGUUUUUAGUUCUCCCUUUAAGAGCAAGUCAAGUACAUGUCACUACAGUGCAAGGGGGAAUCCGUUUAUGCAAAUGGACACGUAUCCCUUUCGAGGGAACCACACAACUCUUUGGAUGUACAAGCCAUCCAUAGGUAUAUCUCCGAAUUCAAUAAGGGACGAUCAAUUAUAAAUCCUUUUCGAUAGUGCUCCGUGCCCCGGGGUAAGGUUUUGGACAUGUGGCCAUGGCCAUAGACCGUCAAACCUUUAGUCAAUCAACAUACACUCCUACUAUAACAAAUGAUUUUUACAAACUCUAACGGCUGUCAAAGGCCACAAACCCCAACAUGUAUAACGCUACUUAUUGAAGAGAAACAAGAAGUCUUUCUUUAAUUCUUGGUCAUGUUUUCUUAAAUUGUCAGUUAUAUGAAUUUGAUUUUACUUGGCCAGCUCCUUUGAUAAUUAAUAUAUUGUCUUUUUAACUAUUUAUGGAUGUUAGUGCGUGACCUUAUGAAAGGCAGCUGAUUGUGAUAGGAACUUGAGUUGAAAGUCUCUCUCCCUUCUAUUUUUAUUUUUUUUCAACUUCUAUGGAGAACUUUCGUUAACGAGUUUCUUGCAAGCGCCUUUCUGAAAUGAAAAGAAGACUUUGGAAUCUUUGGCAUGA